rnacentral:rRNA from 1 species
AGCGAACGCUGGCGGCAGGCUUAACACGUGCAAGUCGAGCGGGCAUCCUUGUGGUGUCAGCGGCAGACGGGUGAGUAACGCGUGGGAACGUGCCCUUCGGUUCGGAAUAACUCAGGGAAACUUGAGCUAAUACCGGAUACGCCCUUUUGGGGAAAGGUUUACUGCCGAAGGAUCGGCCCGCGUCUGAUUAGCUAGUUGGUGAGGUUAUGGCUCACCAAGGCGACGAUCAGUAGCUGGUCUGAGAGGAUGAUCAGCCACACUGGGACUGAGACACGGCCCAGACUCCUACGGGAGGCAGCAGUGGGGAAUAUUGGACAAUGGGGGCAACCCUGAUCCAGCCAUGCCGCGUGAGUGAUGACGGCCUUAGGGUUGUAAAGCUCUUUUCUCCGGGACGAUAAUGACGGUACCGGAGGAAUAAGCCCCGGCUAACUUCGUG